rnacentral:rRNA from 1 species
GAUGAACGCUGGCGGCGUGCCUAAUACAUGCAAGUCGAGCGAACAGACGAGGAGCUUGCUCCUCUGACGUUAGCGGCGGACGGGUGAGUAACACGUGGAUAACCUACCUAUAAGACUGGGAUAACUUCGGGAAACCGGAGCUAAUACCGGAUAAUAUAUUGAACCGCAUGGUUCAAUAGUGAAAGACGGCUUUGCUGUCACUUAUAGAUGGAUCCGCGCCGCAUUGGCUAGUUGGUAAGGUAACGGCUUACCAAGGCACCGAUGCGUAGCCGACCUGAGGGGGGGUCCGCCAACAUUGAACUGGGACAACGUCCCAGAUCCCAAGGGAGGGAGGAGGGAGGAAUAUUGGAGCAUGGGGGGAAGGCUGAUCCAACCAUCGCGGGGGGGGUAAGGAAGCCUUCGGGUUGUAAAACCCUUUUUUUGGGAAAAAAAAGAAGGUGUAUGUUACCACGCUGGUCUGAAGGUACCCAAAGAAGAAACACCGGCUAACUUCGUU